GGGGGUCUAGUUAAAAUUAUAAAACAUUAGCUUGUCAAACUAAAAUUACCUAGGGGUGACUCUUU
rnacentral:tRNA from 1 species